rnacentral:tRNA from 1 species
GCAGUGGUGGUCUAGUGGUAGAAUUCCUGCCUUUCACGUGGGAGACCAGGGUUCAUUUCCCGGCCAAUGCA